AUUGAACGCUGGCGGCAGGCCUAACACAUGCAAGUCGAGCGGAUGAAGGGAGCUUGCUCCUGGAUUCAGCGGCGGACGGGUGAGUAAUGCCUAGGAAUCUGCCUGGUAGUGGGGGAUAACGUCCGGAAACGGGCGCUAAUACCGCAUACGUCCUGAGGGAGAAAGUGGGGGAUCUUCGGACCUCACGCUAUCAGAUGAGCCUAGGUCGGAUUAGCUAGUUGGUGGGGUAAAGGCCUACCAAGGCGACGAUCCGUAACUGGUCUGAGAGGAUGAUCAGUCACACUGGAAGUGAGACACGGUACAGACUCCUACGGGAGGCAGCAGUGGGGAAUAUUGGACAAUGGGCGAAAGCCUGAUCCAGCCAUGCCGCGUGUGUGAAGAAGGUCUUCGGAUUGUAAAGCACUUUAAGUUGGGAGGAAGGGCAGUAAGUUAAUACCUUGCUGUUUUGACGUUACCAACAGAAUAAGCACCGGCUAACUUCGUG
rnacentral:rRNA from 1 species